rnacentral:rRNA from 1 species
UACAGAGGGGCAAGCGUUAUUCGGAAUUAUUGGGCGUAAAGGGCGCGUAGGCGGCUUUCAAGUGACGGGUGAAAUCCCUCGGCUUAACCGAGGAACUGCCUGUCAGACUGGAAGGCUUGAGACCGGGAGAGGUGAGUGGAAUUCCCAGUGUAGCGGUGAAAUGCGCAGAUAUCAGGAGGAACACCAAUUGCGAAGGCAGCUCGCUGGGACGUUACUGACGCUGAGACGCGAAAGCGUGGGGAGCAAACAGG